rnacentral:tRNA from 1 species
GGGUCCGUAGCUGAGAGGUUUUAGCGCCCGACUGUUAAUCGGGACCACGUGGGUUCGAAUCCCACCGGGCCCU